UAGAGACAAUAAAAGGACCCA
rnacentral:piRNA from 1 species